UCGAUUCUGAUAGUAGUGGUUGCCCACCUGUUGAGUGACUAAAUUGCUCUUGGGUGUUGAUUCUGUUGAUUGAAAAAAUUUCAGUUCUUCUGUUGUUGAUCUGUUGAUGGUAGUGACUGGUUUGGCCCUUAUGAGCUUCUCAAUUUCACUCUUCUUGGACCCUACUCAUUUGGUAAGUACUCCAGCUGAGAACUUUUUCGUGAUUGAAUUUAAGUAUCAUGGACCCCCCAUUUUUGAGAAUCCUAUUCCAAUAGCUCUUUUUGUGGUUAAUUGAAGUUUCAAGAAACCAUUGCUAUUGAAAACCAUUUUUGUCUGUGGACUUUGGAAGAGGAUUCUGGCAGCCACCCAAAUAUAGGAUUUAAGAGAACAUAUCGGCCAAAUGCUUACGAAAUGGCAGGAAAACAAGACCAUUACGUGGGUGUGGCACACAACACCAGCUGAGCAAGUGCAGUUUCCUCCGUUGUUGGAAUUUGCUGAAGGAAGUUCAAAUGAAACAAAAAAUGAAAUUGGAAGUUCAAAUGAGACAAAAAGAAUUUGGUGGUGUUGUAUUGUCGUUACCUUUGCUAAUGUAAUGUAAUGUUAUGAAAGUAUGAAGUUGUUAAGGUUGAAACUUGUUACUUUUUUUGGAAUAUCAAGUUGUUGUGUGGUGGUGGAACCAUGAAGUUUUGUAACGUGGGAGCAUAUAUAACAUAUGGUGCUGCAAUUGUUGUA